rnacentral:lncRNA from 1 species
ACACACAUCCAGUUGGGGCCUCAUAAAAGUCCACCCGAUUGGAUCUGUCGUAUAACGUAGGCACGUAUAAGACCAAAGUCCAGAGACAUUUCAAUACAAAAUUUAUUCUGGUCACUCCCCUCUUUCGUUCCCCAACACACCCUUGAUUGUUGAGGUGGUUUGCCAUGAAAAUUGGGAGAGACAUUUGGCGAAGAGGAAGGAAUGUCCAAAGAGAAGACACAAGCAGAGCUGUGAUCAGUUUGAAGCUUGCUAGGCCAACUUCUCUCCAAGUGAUAGGUGGAGAGCAGUGAAGUGACAUUGGGCACCAGAAAGUUUGAUUUCUCCCUGAAUCCUAUUUCAUUUACAUUUCUUCAUAGUCCAUUUUUUGAUGAUAGAUAGAUGACAAAGUUAGGUUUCUAAAUCGAUUUUUCCAAUUUUUAGAGAAAUUACUCAUUAAUUUUCCAGUAUUCCCUUUUUGGGUCAUAAACGAAUAGAGUGAGAAAGGUGUUUUUUUAUUUCGAUUUCAAAUUUUACUUGAUUUUAGUUAUGACAAUGAGAUUAUGCCCUUUUAUUACUCUUUCUUUUAAUUUUGUGUCCAAUUUUCGUGUAACAUGACGCUCUAUUAUUUUUCAUGGAUUUAUUUCAUUUAAGGUUUUGAAUGACAGCUAACAUUGAUAUAAUCAUUGGGAUCUAUUUCGUUUCAUAUUAUUUAUUUUAAUAAGGUUUCAGAUAAAAACCCUUCUCCCAAUUUUUUGUUGUAGUCCUAUUUUUAGUAGUUUGUUUCAUGAGUUUAAGUUUUUAUAGUCAAAGUUUCCUCUAUAGGAUCAGAUUCUAACUCAACAUUAUCUUCCCAUUUCACUAGGGUCAUAUUUUCUCUCUCCUCUCUGAUUUUUCUUGAUCCUAGGUUUAUUUUUCAUCAUUUAUUUUUUCUUUGCAGGGCUUGUGUCAUUUAUGAAUGCUGAAUUUGGGCAGACAGAAAAGUUAAAAGAUUUAGAGAUCAAGCAAUUUGACAGAUUUAUUGUGGAGAACAUUCUAUUUUUAAUACUUAUUAUUUAUUUUAUUUUAGUAAUUUUUUGAACAAAAAUUUAUAUCGAGAUUGACUUCAAUUCGCCAAGUUUAAUAUUAGUUAUGUUUGG